rnacentral:lncRNA from 1 species
AUGGAGGACUUUCCCGCGCAAGGGGGACAGGCUGGACUGAAAGAGGACACGGGAAGAACAAAGACUUAGACUCGAAGCCCUCGGAUGGUGGCCCUUGCAUGCUUCAGUUCAUGAUGUUGGAGACUAUUUCCCCACCCUUGCGGAAAAACCUACCUUCAGACAACAAAACUGCCAGUGACCGAGUGCUUCUGUAUGCCAGGCACUGCGCUUCCGGGAUCCUCAUACCCUUCAUAAG